GACAGAGGGUGCAAACGUUGUUCGGAAUUACUGGGCGUAAAGCGAGUGUAGGCGGUUUGGUAAGUCGGAUGUGAAAGCCCCGGGCUCAACCCGGGAAGUGCACUCGAUACUGCCAAGCUAGAGUAUCGGAGAGGUUGGUGGAAUUCUCGGUGUAGAGGUGAAAUUCGUAGAUAUCGAGAGGAACACCGGUGGCGAAGGCGGCAUCCUGGACCAAUAUUGACGCUGAGGAGCGAAAGCCAGGGGAGCAAACGGG
rnacentral:rRNA from 1 species